GCGGGUGUGGCGGAACGGCAGACGCGCAUGGUUCAGGUCCAUGUGAGGGCAACCUUGUGGGAGUUCAAAUCUCCCCACCCGCACCA
rnacentral:tRNA from 1 species